rfam:Ictidomys tridecemlineatus contig054100, whole genome shotgun sequence.
GGGGUUGUAGCUCAGUGGUAGAGCACUCGCCUCGAAUGCCUAAGGCCCUGUGUUCGAUCCUCAGCACCA